GCGCUUGAAGAGGGGCCUACGUCCGAUUAGCUAGUUGGUGGGGUAAUGGCCUACCAAGGCGACGAUCGGUAGCCGGCCUGAGAGGGCGGACGGCCACACUGGGACUGAGACACGGCCCAG
rnacentral:rRNA from 1 species